UACAUGGGGUGCAAACGUUGCUCGGAAUUAUUGGGCGUAAAGAGCUCGUAGGUGGUUUGUCGCGUUGUUCGUGAAAACUCACAACUCAAUUGUGGGCGUGCGGGCGAUACGGGCAGACUGGAGUACUGCAGGGGAGACUGGAAUUCCUGGUGUAGCGGUGGAAUGCGCAGAUAUCAGGAGGAACACCGGUGGCGAAGGCGGGUCUCUGGGCAGUAACUGACGCUGAGGAGCGAAAGCGUGGGGAGCGAACAGG
rnacentral:rRNA from 1 species